UACUUGACCCUUCAAGCAGAUGGGAUUGGUCCUUUAUGGAAGAAGUUUGAGACAAAGAGACCCAGACCCCUCUUCCUCCAACAUUUCACAGGACGAAGUACGAAGGGAUCUUUGCCAGGGUGAGCCAAGGAGGCCUGGUGAUAACAGAUGCCCUGGCCCAAAGGAGAACAUCAGAGCUGGAGGGGACCCUGGAGAGGAUCUGGGCCAUCUCCUUUAUGAUUCAGUGGGGGGCCUCAAGCCCAGAGAGAAAAGAGGACACUCCCAAAGGAACAUGCAAGGUAAAGAUGGAGCGUUGGGUGGGCUCUGAGUCCUAAACUUGGUGCUUUCUGCCCUUCCUCUCAUCUGUCAGUUGAUGUCAUGGCCUCCUCAUUGAAGUAUAUGUAUGUCCAUAAAUGUUUUUAUCUUUAAAUCUCUCUUUCCACACACACAUGCACAGAAUUCCUCAGUGGGAAAGAUUAGAAACUAAAUAUACCAUCGAGCAUAUGUUUUAAGUAUUAAUGAAUUAAUAAAUUUAGGCCCAAUUAUCCAUUAAUCCACAGAUGUAAAUCAGUUAACAGAGCAGAAGAUCACCAGGGCUUGCAAUGGGGAAGGGGUGGGAUGAAGGCAAGCGGGGUGGUCCUGAUGAAGAACCCUAGACAUAAAAGAUGCCAUAGUUUAGCCCACCCUGAUCUUUGUAUUUCCUCAAGGUAUGCUAGACAAAAAGAAACAGCAAAUAGAUACGUAGCUGCAAAGAUCAACAAUGCCACUGUAUAUUAACUGUAGAGUUUUGGUUUUAGCAUGGCUGAUAACUAAUAGAAGCUUGACUUCAUGUGUUUCUUAAUUAAACCAAGCAUCUCACAAGUGAACAUCUCUGCUCCAGUACAUCCUGUAUCAGUUGGUGAUGUCUACUGGCAUUGGAUAACAUUUCAGUUCAGUUCCAUGAGAUACUACACAUAAUUCACCUAAUUCACAGAGCAAAUAUUUGUUACUUGCACACAUUGUGCAGGAGGCUGAUUUACCAGUAACUGGGCUUAAAUUCAUUAAUUUGUUAACACCAAAUGGCUUCCUUCCUUGGUGGUAUAUGAGCUGAAGAAAUGGAGUUCCUGUCUUCAAGAGAGUUACAGAGAUGAGGCUCCAGAGUGGAGCAACUUCUAUCUUUGGAGUCUUAUCGCCCAACGCCAUGUGACUGACUCAAUCUUGACUUGCUCUCCAAAAUAUUUACUUUAGCUCUGUGAAGUAUUUUUUUCCCUAGGGGAACGGAUUUUCGUAUGCAUAAUAGAGACCAGCGGGAAGAUAAGGCCCCACAGGUAAUCCUAUCAGAGCACAUGUAUUCCUUAUUGUGAGGAUGCCUGCAGCAUUUCAACAGAACCAGCCCUCUCCCUGGGGACUAGGCCUUUUGGGUUACCUUUCCAAACCAACACCAGCUUCACUUUCUUCCUCUGCCUGGUUGUCCAGCAGCGUCUGUGGCACCAAAUCUGUGUCCCCAGGAGUCAAAUGAUUUUCUGGUCAGGAAUGUAGAAAAACAACAUUACUGCACAUAUGAUGAAACCUUAUGAAAUUCAGGUGUGGAGGGAUUUUGGAUUCUGUGGUAUCAAAAUAACAACCAUAUAGCAUACUAAAUAUUUGCAAACUAUUAUUUUAAAAUUGUAUGUUGAGGUGUAGCUUACACACAAUAAAUGCAUGCGGUGAAAUAGUCAGUUCAAUACAUUGUGACCUCUUUAUUGGAGGGUAGCAGUAUACACCACCCCAAAAUAUGCCACUUUGGCAUAAGGAUUAUUUUGAGCCAAAAGCAAUUGAGAAGAAGUGGGUACAAGAAAAGUUCUCCACCCUCCCCCUAUUUGCCUAAAAGCAAGACAUAAAUUUACAAAGGUAAAGCUGUCCCUCAUCUCCUCACUACCAGAAAGGAUAAAGUUCGAUCACCAAAGAUGACAUUGACUUGCCUUCCCAUAAAGUGUUCCUCCUGGAGACUUAAAACCCUUUUCCACUGUCUUACUACUUGUCUAAAAAUGUACUGUUCAUUGUUGGAGGUGUAUUGAAACAGGAAUUCAAAGCUACCUCUUUGAGAAUUAUUUAAUCCCUGGAUCUCUCCCAUGUCCAUAUGAAAUAGACAUGUUAACACACUUCUGCUUGGUUUUCUCUUGUUAAUCUGUCUUGGGUUACAGGAGUCUGUUCCAGCUAAGAACUUAUGAGGGUUGAGAAAAAAAUUACUUUUCCUCCCAUACAUAGCCAAGGGCUGGUAACAACCCAAAUACAUCAAUCAAUAGAAGAAUAAACAAACAAAUUAUAGUAUUUUUAUAUAGUUAAAUACUACAUAGCAAUAACAACUUUUAAAACUACUGAUACCCAAACAACAUGGAAUAACUUCACAGACAUUAUUAUUGAGUGAAAGAAAUCAAACAAAUGACUCCUUUUAUAUGAAGUUCAAUAAUAUGCAAAUGAAUUGGUUGUAGAAGUCAGAAUCAUGGUUUUCUCUCAGGUGGGGCGAUUAUUGACUGGGAGGAGGAAGUACAAGGAAAUCUCCUGUUCUCCAUCUUGACCUGGGUGAGUGAUUUCUUAGAUGGAUAUUAUAAGAGAGGGAAAAAAAAUUUUCCCUCUAUUCUUCUAAGUUCUCAACUAGAACCCCUGUAACUCAAGACAGAUAAAUAAGAGAAAAACAAACAGAAAUGUACUCUUAAGUGUAUGUAGGAGACACCAGGGAAUAAACAAUUCUCAGAGGAGUGGCUUAGAACUCCCUGCUUAUAUAACCACACUCAACAAAGAAUUAUACAAUUUUAGAGAAGUGACAAGAUGAAGAAAAAGACUUUGCAUCUUGAGGGCCACCAAACUGUGGGUAGACAAAUAAAAACGAAAUGAAGAAUAGAAAGAGACUAGUCAAUAAAGUUUGUUACGCAGCUUCCUCUGGUACCAUCUCCAGGCCCAUAAAGGUCUAAAGUUCUCAGUGGUUAACCUUUAUUAUCCUUGAUAGAAAGACCUUUGUAAAUUUAGGUCUUGCUUUUAGGCAAAUAGAGAGAGGACAGAGAGCCUUCCUGCAUCUGCUUCUUCUUAAUUGCCUUCACCUCAAGAAUCCCUAUGCCAAAGGGGCGUAUCUCGGAGUAGCGUAUUCUGUUCUCUCACAAAUAUUAUGACCACAUGGACAGUAAUGAUUAAAGGAUCAUUUUCACCGAACAAAGCAGUAAUUUACAAGGCCCCUUUGUACAAAUUGUAUUCCCAAAAACAUAAUAUGUUGUGAUAUUGUGAUUUAUAAGUAUAAUUAUAUAUAGAUAUAUAAUUACAUAUACGUGUGUAUAUGUGUGUGUGUGUGUGUGUGUGUGUAUGGUUCUCAUCCCCAUUUCUGGCACAGGGCUCCUAAAACCCUUGAAAUUUCCUGGUGAUGAAAACAAUAAAGGUGAAAAGAGCAUCUUUUCUUAACCAUAACCGGGCCCUUUUAGCCACACCUGAGUUGAUGUUAAUGAGGUGACUUUAGAAAGCCUCCAAGGAUGGGGGCGCUGGUCGUCUGGGGAAACAACCAUGUGAUUUGAGGGUUGGAAUAUUCAGCCCUUGAGUUCCAGGAGAGGAGAGAGACUGGAGAUUGAGUUAACCACCAAUGGUCCAUAGUUUCUUUAACCAAUCAUGCCUGUGUAAGGAAGCCUCCAUAAAAGCCCAAAAGGACAGGGUUCAAAGAGCUUCUGGGUUGGUGAACACAUGGAGAUACCUGGAGGGUGGUGUGCCCAGAGAGGGCAUGGGAACUCCAUGUCUCUUCCCCCAUAUCUUGCCCUGUGCAUCAAUUCCAUCUGGCCAUUCUUGAGUUGGAUCCUUUAUAAAAAACUGGUCAUUGUAAAUAAAUGUUUCCCUGAGUUUUGCAAGCUGUUCUAGCAAAUUAUUGAAACUGAGGAAGGGGGUGUGGAAAUCUUCCAUGUGUCACCACAUUGGACAAAAGUUGUGGGUAACCUGGGGACCCACCACUUACAACUGGUGUCUGAAGUAGGGGCAGUCUUAUGGGACUGAGCCCUUAACCUGUGGGAUCUAAUGGUAUCUCCAAGGAGAUAGUGUCUGAAUUGAGUUAAACUGUAGGAUGCCAAGUUUGUUCUCAUCAAGAAGUGGAGAAUUGCUUGGUGUAGGGGGAAAAACUCACACAUUUUGGUGACCAGAAGAAGUAAAUUGGUGUGAGUAUUGAGGGUAGUAGUAGAGUUCAGCCUCCUUCCUUCGCCUCUCUCGCACACACCCUCUUGCCCUUCUGCCUUCUGCCUUCUGCCAUGGGAUAACACAGCAAGAAGGUCCUUGCCAGAUGCUAGCACCCUGAUAUUGAACUUCCCAGCCUCCAGAACUGUGAGAAAUAAAUUUCUUUUCUUCAUAAAUUCCCCAGUUUGUGGUAUUCUGUUAUAGCAGCACAAAACAGACUAAGACAGAAUAAAAGAGUCCCCCAGUCCUUCUAUCUACAAGGUAAAAAUUUUAGGAGCUCUAUGUUGGUAGGGGUGAUGGCAGCAGUUAGAUUUGCAGAAAUCCACAGGUUUCACCAGCGCAUGUGGGAGGUGAGAGAGUAGAGUCAAGGAUAACAUCAUAUUUUUGGGCCUUGAACAACUGUUACAAUGAAGAUCCCAUUUACUGAGAUGGGAAGGGGUGAAGGUUUUUUUGGUAGGAUAUGUGUUUGUCGUGGGGUGUGAUAGAGUUCAGUGUGGGAUGGGUUAAGUUUGAGAAACCUGUUAGACAGCCAAGUGAUGUUGAGUCUGUUUCUGGCUGGAGAUCAAAUUUGGGAGCCAUCAGUGCAGAAAGUAGUUGAAAUCAUGACUUGGGUGAGAACCCCAGGAUAAGAGUAACAGUAGAGACAAAGUGCAGUCAAAGAACUGGAUCCUGAGCACUCCAACAGUGGGACCUGAGGAAAGAGAGGAGGAAGAACAAGAGAUGGAACACAGGAGCAGCUAGUGAAGCACACAGAGAACUCACAGAGAAUGGCAUUUUGGAAUCCAGGGUGAAACAUUUGAAUAUGAUUGACAGCCUUUGUGUCUCCCUGUAUUUUUCAACAUUCUGAAUCUUGCUUUCCAUCUUUAUCUUACGAAGAUUCUGCUUUACCUGCCAGUGACAAUAGCUGGAAUGGAAGAAAACAUACCUUGGCAGGCUGGAGAUAGCGUGUUUCUGAUCCUCCUCAUAUUCAGAAUGACAGGUGUUCUGGCUGAGAAGAGACGCUGUACUACCUUUCUAGAGGAGAAAGAAGGCCUUCUCAUUAGUAUGGAUCCAAAGCCCCUUUCUAUCACUUACCUGUUCUGGGGUUUCAAGACAUUCAAGAUACCACUGUACGUUUCCCUUCUCAGAAAAGAGAAAUAGUUUGAGAUAAUAAGAUAUAACUUAUAGAUAAGUAAAAUAGCUAGUAAAAUGCCUAGCUCAAUAAAUGUUCAGGAGCAACUAGUUUCUGCAUUUUUCAUAAUUAUAAAUAGGAUAAAAAUAGUGUCUUACCUCGGAUUGGCUUAGAAAGCAACCCCCAACUACUUUGUAUGUUUCUUACAGGAGAUACAACUGAAACAGUGACUCGAAAAAAGUUGGAACUAAAAAGUUGGGCAAAAUCACAAAGGCAAAGGAAAUGUCUGUGGCUGUAAGAGGAAUCCUUGGGAUGGAAUUGUUCUGUGUCUUGAUUAGUGGUAGUCACAUACAUCCACAUGUGAGAAAAUUGCAGUAAAUUAAACUUGGGAAACUCAGUAAUGGGUC